rnacentral:rRNA from 1 species
UACGGAGGGUGCAAGCGUUAAUCGGAAUUACUGGGCGUAAAGCGUGCGUAGGCGGUUCGUUAAGUCUGCUGUGAAAGCCCCGGGCUCAACCUGGGAAUGGCCGUUGAAACUGGCGAACUGGAGUGUGGCAGAGGGGGGUGGAAUUCCGCGUGUAGCAGUGAAAUGCGUAGAGAUGCGGAGGAACACCGAUGGCGAAGGCAGCCCCCUGGGCUGACACUGACGCUCAGGCACGAAAGCGUGGGGAGCAAACAGG